GUGCUAAGGUAAUAUAAACGCAAAGGGAAUCAGAUUACAAUGUAUUUAGAGGUGGAAUAGGUGAUUGCCCUCUUUGUUUGGUUGCACUCUGGUAACGUAAUCAGAUUACUGUGUGGGUGCUAUAUCUGAUUACGAUGGGGGAGGAGGGGUAACAAGCUUGUAUAGAUAUUAUUUAGGUAAGGGAUUCGAUUACAGUGUCAAUUGAUUGCAAACCACCGCAACCAAACAUAUGUAAUGGGAUUCGUUACCUUCAGUAAUCAGAUUACAUUACAUUUGAGCCAACCAAACACUACCUUAGUUCAUUUUACUGGCAUCUAGGGAAUGAAAAUAGAUACUGGAGUUUUAUAAAAAGAGUGUGAGGCCCGGUUUAUUUUCCACUCCUGUAUUAUAUAAUCCAGCCUAUAUUUUUUCAAACUUGGAAAGUAAGUAUUAUUCUGGAAGUAGGUAGCCGUAAAAGUAAAAAAGGAGGAUUUUUAUUUUAGGUAUUCCCUUUCCCAAAUUACAAUUAGAUUAUAAAAAUAUGGACCAGAUUAUUGUAACACUGGUAAGAAACGAGCAUUAGUCCCGUUUGGAAAACCAGUUUUCCAACUGUGACUAAUCAUUCGG
rnacentral:lncRNA from 1 species